rnacentral:rRNA from 1 species
AGACCCCUACGGGACGCAGCAGUGGGGAAUAUUGCACAAUGGGGGAAACCCUGAUGCAGCGACGCCGCGUGGGCGAGGAAGUACCUCGGUAUGUAAAGCCCUAUCAGCAGGGAAGAAACAGGACAGUACCUGACUAAGAAGCCCCGGCUAACUACGUGCCAGCAGCCGCGGUAAUACGUAGGGGGCAAGCGUUAUCCGGAUUUACUGGGUGUAAAGGGAGCGUAGGCGGCCUGGCAAGCCUGAUGUGAAAUACCGGGGCCCAACCCCGGGGCUGCAUUGGGAACUGCCAGGCUGGAGUGCCGGAG